GCUAUUUUGGCAGAUAAAAUGUAAUGAGUUUAGAAUUCAUUUAUAUAUAAUUAAUUUAUAUAGAUAGUA
rnacentral:tRNA from 1 species